CUCACUCCAAGAGGCUAAACAGAAUACAGCCCGGGCCGCGUCGGCCUUGGCUGGGCUCCGGCCGCUGAAAACUUACUCAGCUCAGUGCUGUCGAUCAACAGCGAGGAGGGAAAGGCAAGGAGGUGCCCAAAGGCGAUUUCAGUUUCGUCUCCUCGCGGUGAGUCGUAGCCACCGGGGUCCGAUCGCCGAGAUGGGCGUGGCCGCGUGACGUCACAGAGCUGGCCCGUGGCCAGAACUCAAACUUUGAUGAAGGCGCCGGGGUCCAAGUCGGACGAGAAGCGUCCCUAGCGACAGCCAGAGACGGGGCUUCGGGGUCGCCGCACCCGAAUGCGAAUCGUUUUGGAAAUGAAUUCAGCCGUUGGUAGCUGCCAGUGGAGACUUGAGGCGCUCAGCAUCCGAUGGGUCGAGGAGGAGGCCAGUGUAUGUCUGUGGAGAGGCAUGAGGCUGAAGGUUUGGAGAACGUGUGUCCCUGGAGAGUAGGUAGGUUGCGUCUCAGAUGUUGACUGCUGGGAACAGACGAUGAUACCUUCAUCCAGCUGAUCCGAAUUCACUUCACUCCUUCAAGCCCGUGUCUUCCUCAAGUCCUUAGAGUCAAAUGAAGUAAGGAGAAGACAGUUCCAGGACCAGGAGAGCAUCAUUUUUGGGGAUACUGUUAACUUGAAUUGUAAGAUCUAUGACCAGAAUUUCAGCGCAAUCUAGAAGGGUAAAAUCACAGAGAUCCCAGUUACUGGCCGUUUUCUCAGAAUGGAAUAAAAUGACCAAGGUCCAGGAGUAAUUAGGUUACAAGUCACUGCUCCCCACUCAUUCAUUUGAAACUUUGUGCUUGCUUGAAGAGGACAAAUGACUGAUGCAAGUUCCUCAGGAGCCUGGAGAAGGAACCCCCAUGGAACUUUGUUUCCAGUCUCUGAGGAGAGCACAUGGCUGGCUGAUGGUAGAAUCCUUGAGGGUGUGUGAUGAAGAUGAUUCUGAGACUGUGGGCAGAAACUGAAAACUGCAGCCAAAUGUUUCCUUUGCAGCAAGAAGAGAAAGACAGGAAAAAGCAAGUCCCUUCUCCAUAUUCCUUCUGCCUGCCCAUUCUCUCUAGUGCUCCAUAUUGGCAAAACCUAACAUGAAGGCAGCCAGCAAAAGAUAAUGUGGUUUGCAAUACCAGCCCCAGAAUUACAAAGCAGACAAUGGAAGAGUAGGUUGAGAGAUGGGAGACAAUAGCUGUAGUAACUAGCACAGCAACCUUCUUUAAUUGUGAGUAGCUAUGAUGCGUGCCUCCCCCAAUUUACAAAUAUUACAGUCUACUUAUAGAUGAGUGCAGAAUGAAAAUAUAUUUGUGAAUAGGAUGAUGCUUAUUCAAACAAUCCUUGAAUAUUUGUUGUGUAUAAGAAAAUAUGUUAGUAAAGUUAUUAGUCAUGAUGUGUGUGUGUGUGUGUGUUCUUCAGUAACUUUAAUGGGACAUAUGACACGAAACAUCACUAUGGUUUAUGACCCCAGAAUCUAUCACUCUAACCAUUUUUGUAUGUUUUUAUGUAGUAUAAAUAGCGUCAUGUGUUAUUUUAGGGACAAAUAUACAGUCUAAAAUCAUGUGAAUAAGUGGUAUUUCAGAUCACUGGGGAAAGGGAAG
rnacentral:lncRNA from 1 species